rnacentral:rRNA from 1 species
GAGGAGUGCCUGACGCAUGCAAGUACACAUGACAAGUUGAGCAGAUUCGAUGUGAGCUGUCUGCCAGGCGUGGAGCAGUGGCCGGUUGACUACCACCUAGUAAUCUUCGUAGUAGUGGGGGAUACCUCAGGGAAUCUCGAAUUACAUCCUCUUUCGCCUUACAGAAAAAAGAAAGCAGUUUUCGGCUCUCACUAUCAGAUGAGCCUAAGUCGCAUUAGCUAGAUGGUGAGGUAAAGGCUCACCAAGGCGACGAUGCAUAGCUGGUCUGAGAGGAUGAUCAGCCACACCGGGACUGAGACACGGCCCGGACUCCUACGGGAGGCAGCAGUGGGGAAUAUUGGACCAAGGGGGAAACCUUGAUCCAGCCACGCCGCGUGAGGAAGAAGGCCUUUUUGGGUGUAAAGCAUUUGAAGCUAGUGAAGAAGCACCUACCAGGUUAAAACUCCGUUAUGCGAUGACAUUACCUGCCCAAUAAGCACCGGCUAACUCUGUGCCAGCAGCCGCGGUAAUACAGUAGGGGGCAAGCGUUAUUCGGAAUUACUGGGCGUAAAGCGAGCGCAGGCGGUUUAAUAAGUCAGAUGUGAAAUCCCCGGGCUCAACCGGGAAGGGCCUCUGAUACUGUGAGACUAGAGUACGGAAGAGAGAAGUAGAAUUCCAGGUGUAGCCGUGAAAAGGGUAGGGAUCGGGAAGAAUCCCCAUGGCGAAGGCAGCUUCUUGGCAUCAUACUGACACUGAGGCUCGAAANGACGG